rfam:Punica granatum cultivar Dabenzi scaffold239, whole genome shotgun sequence.
AAUCCAUGGUGUGGACACUUCCUCUACAACACCUUAUACCUAUCCCAAGCCUCAUGAAAAGUUUCGUUAUCAUGCUGCCUGAAUGAUGUGAUUUCAUUCCUUAGUUG